rnacentral:rRNA from 1 species
AGCAGUCGCCACGGUAAUACGUAGGGUGCAAGCGUUAAUCGGAAUUACUGGGCGUAAAGCGUGCGCAGGCGGUUUGUUAAGACAGAUGUGAAAUCCCCGGGCUCAACCUGGGAACUGCAUUUGUGACUGGCAAGCUAGAGUCUGGCAGAGGGGGGUGGAAUUCCGCGUGUAGCAGUGAAAUGCGUAGAUAUGCGGAGGAACACCGAUGGCGAAGGCAGCCCCCUGGGCCAACACUGACGCUCAUGCACGAAAGCGUGGGGAGCAAACAGGAUUAGAGACCCCCGUAGUCCCUGUCUCUUAUAC